AGAGUUUGAUCCUGGCUCAGGACGAACGCUGGCGGCGUGCUUAACACAUGCAAGUCGAACGAGAUCCUUCGGGGUCUAGUGGCGAACGGGUGAGUAACACGUGAGCAACCUGCCCUUGGCUCUGGGAUAGCCUCCGGAAACGGGGAUUAAUACCGGACAUGACCUGCACCGGCAUCGGUGCGGGUGGAAAGUUUUUCGGC
rnacentral:rRNA from 1 species